GUGUGGAUAUAAGUUCCAGGCACAGUCAGGUGGGACAAGACUCAGGCGGGACAUGAACAAGUCAUCCUCAAGGCUUGCAUUGGAAUGCAUCUGCUGAAAUGUACCAAGAGGAUAUGCCUCUGCUGAUCCAUGAAAGGAAAAGCCAUCCAAGCAUCACAGAAGGUGUGAAAUGUACCCCAUUGCCUUGAAAGCACUUGAAGAUGAGCCAAUUGUUUCUCGAAAAGUACUGGGCAGAG